rnacentral:tRNA from 1 species
CGUAAGAUGAUCGCGUGGCCUAAUGGAUAAGGCGCUCGCCUCCGGAGCGGGAGAUUGUGGGUUCGAGUCCCAUCGCGAUCGUC